rnacentral:lncRNA from 1 species
CCAUCGCUCCCGCUAACGGCAUGGUACACUGUUGUACCCGCGCUUCCCAGGCUGAGGCCGAAUGGGCUUCUCUCUGCUCAUUCAAAGAACAUGCUCAGCUCUUUCCAGCACAGGAUUUCCCUCUGUGCUUGCUCUCCUCUGUUUCUCUGUUUUCCUGGUGGACUUCUGCACAUUCUUCUUGUCCCAGCUUCACAUCUGGCAUGGUUUGAAUAUGCUCAGCUCAGAGAGUGGCACUAUUAGGAGGUGUGGCCUUAUUGGAGUAAGGUAGGUGUGACCUUAUUGGAGUAGGUGUGCCACUUGUGGGCGUGGGCUUUAAGACCCUCAUCCUGGCUGCCUGGAAGUCAGUCUUCCACCAGCAGCCUUCAGAUGAAGAUGUAGAACUCUCAGCUCCUCUUGCACCAUGCCUGCCUGGAUGCUGCCAUGCUCCUGCCUUGAUGAUUACAGACUGAAUGGACCUUUGAACCUGGUAGACUGAGCUCUCAUCCUCUUCUGAAUAGUUAAAAGUCCUAUGGCCUAGAGCAAAAAAGCAGAAUAGUAAGGUGGGACUUCCAGAGAGAGAGGAACUCUGGGAAGGGAGGAGGGGCAGCCAACCAGACAUGGAGGAAGAAGCAGGCUGGGAGGAAAGGAGAGGCACCAGAUCACAUAAUCUAGAAGAUCCUGUGUGGAACAGAGACUCAGAGCUCAAAUGUGAACAAGAAAUCCACUUUGUUCUUCUAAGCCAUGAGGAUCAUUUGCCAUAAUACAGGCCACACCCAGAUGAUCACCAGAACUAUAGCAGGAGAAUAAAAGAUACGGGCUCAUGGAACCAAAGACAGAGUGACCAACUCCGCACCUGAGUGGCAUGAAGACCCUAAAACCUUCAGUUAGUCCUCUGUGACUCGACUUUCUUGUCUGUAAGCUGUGGGUAACAAGAAAUCCACCAGAGAGGUGGAUCUCAAUUACUUCUCUACUGCUGUGAUGAAACACCAUGACCAAAGCAACCUGACGGGAAAGGGUUCACUUGGCUUACACGUCCAUCCCAUAGUCAGUCACUGGAAGGAGUCAGGGCAGGAACCUGGAGGCAGGAGCUGAUGCAGAGGCCACGGAAGGAUGCUGCUUACUGUCUUGCUCACAUGGCUCACUUAGCCUGCUUUCUUCUAUAACUCAGGACCACCACCCCAGGGAUGG